UUCCGGUUGUACCUGCCGGAGGCCACUGCUAUGGGGGUCCGACUAAGCCAUGCGAGUCAUGGGGCGCCUUGCGCGCACCGGCGGACGGCUCAGUAACACGUCGGUAACCUACCCUCGGGAGGGGGAUAACCCCGGGAAACUGGGGCUAAUCCCCCAUAGGCCUGAGGUACUGGAAGGUCCUCAGGCCGAAAGGGGCUCUGCCCGCCCGAGGAUGGGCCGGCGGCCGAUUAGGUAGUUGGUGGGGUAACGGCCCACCAAGCCGAAGAUCGGUACGGGCCAUGAGAGUGGGAGCCCGGAGAUGGACACUGAGACACGGGUCCAGGCCCUACGGGGCGCAGCAGGCGCGAAACCUCCGCAAUGCGGGCAACCGCGACGGGGGGACCCCCAGUGCCGUGGCAACGCCACGGCUUUUCCGGAGUGUAAAAAGCUCCGGGAAUAAGGGCUGGGCAAGGCCGGUGGCAGCCGCCGCGGUAAUACCGGCGGCCCGAGUGGUGGCCGCUAUUAUUGGGCCUAAAGCGUCCGUAGCCGGGCCCGUAAGUCCCUGGCGAAAUCCCACGGCUCAACCGUGGGGCUUGCUGGGGAUACUGCGGGCCUUGGGACCGGGAGAGGCCGGGGGUACCCCUGGGGUAGGGGUGAAAUCCUAUAAUCCCAGGGGGACCGCCAGUGGCGAAGGCGCCCGGCUGGAACGGGUCCGACGGUGAGGGACGAAGGCCAGGGGAGCGAACCGGAUUAGAUACCCGGGUAGUCCUGGCUGUAAAGGAUGCGGGCUAGGUGUCGGGCGAGCUUCGAGCUCGCCCGGUGCCGAAAGGAAGCCGUUAAGCCCGCCGCCUGGGGAGUACGGCCGCAAGGCUGAAACUUAAAGGAAUUGGCGGGGGAGCACUACAAGGGGUGGAGCGUGCGGUUUAAUUGGAUUCAACGCCGGGAACCUCACCGGGGGCGACGGCAGGAUGAAGGCCAGGCUGAAGGUCUUGCCGGACACGCCGAGAGGAGGUGCAUGGCCGCCGUCAGCUCGUACCGUGAGGCGUCCACUUAAGUGUGGUAACGAGCGAGACCCGCGCCCCCAGUUGCCAGUCCUUCCCGCUGGGGAGGAGGCACUCUGGGGGGACCGCCGGCGAUAAGCCGGAGGAAGGAGCGGGCGACGGUAGGUCAGUAUGCCCCGAAACCCCCGGGCUACACGCGCGCUACAAUGGGCGGGACAAUGGGAUCCGACCCCGAAAGGGGAAGGGAAUCCCCUAAACCCGCCCCCAGUUCGGAUCGCGGGCUGCAACUCGCCCGCGUGAAGCUGGAAUCCCUAGUACCCGCGUGUCAUCAUCGCGCGGCGAAUACGUCCCUGCUCCUUGCACACACCGCCCGUC
rnacentral:rRNA from 1 species